GAUAAACGCUCGCUACAGGCUUAACACAUGCAAGUCGAGGGGAAACGAUGAGAGAGCUUGCUCUCUUAGGCGUCGACCGGCGCACGGGUGAGUAACGCGUAUCCAACCUACCCAUUACAGGGGGAUAACCUUGCGAAAGUAAGACUAAUACCCCAUGGCAUUUUAUGGUGGCAUCAUUAUAGGAUUAAAGAUUUAUUGGUAAUGGAUGGGGAUGCGUCUGAUUAGCUUGUUGGCGGGGUAACGGCCCACCAAGGCAACGAUCAGUAGGGGUUCUGAGAGGAAGGUCCCCCACAUUGGAACUGAGACACGGUCCAAACGCCUACGGGAGGCAGCAGUGAGGAAUAUUGGUCAAUGGGCGAGAGCUUGAACCAGCCAAGUAGCGUGCAGGAUGACGGCCCUAUGGGUUGUAAACUGCUUUUAGAGGGGAAUAAAGUGAGCUACGUGUAGUUUAUUGCAUGUACCCUAUGAAUAAGGACCGGCUAAUUCCGUG
rnacentral:rRNA from 1 species